UCUGACGGGAGGCGUUGACGGCGCCUACGUGUCACCGUGGAAACCAAACAGUAAAUAGAGGACUGGCGGGAUCCUGGUGCUGUCUGCCCGAGCGAGCUGACCUGGAGGAAAGGGCCGGAAGCUGGGAAGGGCUAGGUGACACCUUGGCCUUGGCAGAGCAGGGCGGGGGUGCCCGGAGAGUGCCGAAAAGGAGGGUGCAGGGACACCGAGAUCCCCGGGAGGAGCCUGGAAAGCUCGCAGAGAGGAGCCUUCCUAACCUUCCCGAGCGUUUCAUCAGCCUGCAAGGUUGUUGCUGACUUGGUGUUCCUUACUAGCCGCUGAGCGUGCAGGCGUUGGGGACACUUUACACCGGGUUCAGAUUCCAGGGCCGCCACUCCAGGUGGAUAAUGAAGUACAGGCCAUAGUCUUUCUGUGCCCUAGACUGUCAUCUAUAACGUAAGCAUACUAGCAAGACCUACAUAGUGACAUGACAGGUAUGAGCCACCGUACCCUGUACAAACAGUUCUAGCGCUCAAACCCAGCACUUCUUUAACGUUAGGCAAGCAUUCUAGCCACUAAAGCACAGCGCCAGCCCUGUGACUAUUUUUAAUAAAAAUCUACAUUUACUAUUUUUUAUGUCUGUGUCUGUGCACGUUUGUACAGAUGUGCCGGGUGCAGGUACGUGCUGAGAACCAAAUUCAGGUCUUCUACAAGAUCAGUGUACACUGUACACCACUGAGCCAUCUCAACAGCACACCCCCCCCCCCGCGCAAAAAGAAAUGUAAAAGUUGUAUAGUUUAGAGCAGUGUUUAGUGCUGACUGCCUAUUCCUUGGAAGCAGGAGAGUAGCUUAACUGUACCUCGACGGCCGGUGUCAUGUUUUCCUGAUUGUCCUGCAGUUUCAAAGCGAACAAUUUUAAAGAAAUCUUCCGUUUUAAAGAGUACAGCUAAUAAUAAACAUACAAAAUGUUUUUGCAUUUGCCAGUAAGCACGACAAAAGGUUACCUAUAAACACACAUCAAAACCCCAGUGCUCAUACAACAGUAACAGGGCUAACUGAAAUAUCUCAAGUUCCGUUUGCCUUCGCAGUAGCUAUGUUGUAUCAGUUUGGUUUUGCCUGAUUUUUCUUUUUCCAGAAAGGAUUUGUACUAUUCAUGCUGAUCUCAAACUUGGUAUACAGCCAAAGCUGGCCUUGAAUAUCUUUCAGAGAUCGUGCUCUGCUCCUGUGAAUGAAGACCCUAAUAUCUGCCUCAGUGGACUGUUGGCGUUGAGAGGACCAAACGAGGCAGCCAUUUGACAACGUGAUGAUUGUGUGCCUAUCAGCUGUGGGUUGUUAGAGGGACACUGAUUAGCAGUGCAAUCCCUGACCCAGAACAUUCUGUAAAGUAUAAAGCAAAACCUGGCACAGAACAGGUUGUGAAACCUAACCCCAGGGCCACAGGUUCUGUGCCAACCUUGGGCUCUGAAUAAAUCCUAUUAACUCUU